rnacentral:rRNA from 1 species
UACGUAGGUGGCAAGCGUUAUCCGGAAUUAUUGGGCGUAAAGAGGGAGCAGGCGGCAGCAAAGGUCUGUGGUGGAAGACUGAAGCUUAACUUCAGUAAGCCAUAGAAACCGGGCAGCUAGAGUGCAGGAGAGGAUCGUGGAAUUCCAUGUGUAGCGGUGAAAUGCGUAGAUAUAUGGAGGAACACUAGUGGCGAAGGCGACGAUCUGGCCUGCAACUGACGCUCAGUCCCGAAAGCGUGGGGAGCAAAUAGG